rnacentral:rRNA from 1 species
UGGGGAAUAUUGCACAAUGGGCGGAAGCCUGAUGCAGCGACGCCGCGUGGGGGAUGAAGGCCUUCGGGUUGUAAACUCCUUUCGACAGGGACGAAGCUUUUGUGACGGUACCUGUAUAAGAAGCACCGGCUAACUACGUGCCAGCAGCCGCGGUAAUACGUAGGGUGCGAGCGUUGUCCGGAAUUACUGGGCGUAAAGAGCUCGUAGGUGGUUUGUCGCGUCGUCUGUGAAAUUCCGGGGCUUAACUCCGGGCGUGCAGGCGAUACGGGCUGACUUGAGUGCUGUAGGGGAGACUGGAAUUCCUGGUGUAGCGGUGAAAUGCGCAGAUAUCAGGGGGAACACCGAGGGCGAGGGCAGGUCUCUGGGCAGUAACUGACGCUGAGGAGCGAAAGCAGGGGUAGCGAACAGG